AAAACAACCUACCGCUUUGUCAACAACGCAGGAAAACUGAUAGUCAUUCCAGUUCCUGAGCUUUGACCGCCGCCUACUAAAUAUCACCCGCAAAUCAUACCUCAUUUACCUAAUUUCAAUGAAAAUUAGUUUCAUAGCCAUUUAUCGAUAAUUGUAUUUAUUUUUUCUCAGUAAAGCUAAGCUUUUAUGUGUGUUAAGUUUGUUCUCAAGGGACUUUUUUAUUGUUGUUACUUCAUGCACGUAUCGAAAAGUACCUAAAUAAAUCUCUACGGAAAAAUAUGAAAUAUAUGUGUAGGCUUGGUACUGAGAAUCAGCACGCGUACGGCGUAAUUGGAAAAGUUGGAGAUAAAAAAAAACGCAAUUUGAACGGCGAUAAUGGAAUAAAAUAUAUUAGUUAAAAACUCCGGGAGAACAAAAUACAAAUUGGAUGACCUAAUAACUAAGAAAAUGAAUGAUUGGGAUGAUGUUUUCCUUCCUGAAAUUCGGAUUCGAACCGAAAUUAUCUCUGCAUAUCGUAUAGCAAAUUAUACAGCAAAAUGCUAUACCAAACCCUUGUAAAAGCCACGACUAGAACAACAGAAAAUGUUGCUUCUGCAAC